rnacentral:rRNA from 1 species
UAGUCUGGGAUACCACUUGGAAACAAGGUGCUAAUACCGGAUAAGAAAGCGGAUCGCAUGAUCAGCUUUUAAAAGGCGGCGUAAGCUGUCGCUAUGGGAUGGCCCCGCGGUGCAUUAGCUAGUUGGUAAGGUAAAGGCUUACCAAGGCGAUGAUGCAUAGCCGAGUUGAGAGACUGAUCGGCCACAUUGGGACUGAGACACGGCCCAAACUCCUACGGGAGGCAGCAGAG